AGUUCGAUUAUGGCUCAGAUUGAACGCUGGCGGGAUGCUUUACACACAUGCAAGUCGAACGGCAGCACGGACUUCCUGGUUCAGUGGCGAGUGGCGAACGGGUGAGUAAUGUAUCGGAACGUGCCUAGUAGCGGGGGAUAACUACGCGAAAGCGUAGCUAAUACCGCAUAAUGCCCUUUCGGGGGAAAGCGGGGGACCUUCGGGCCUCUCGCACUAUUAGAGCGGCCGAUAUCGGAUUAGCUAGUUGGUGGGGUGACGGCUCACCAAGGCGACGAUCCGUAGCUGGUUUGAGAGGACGACCGUCGCCACUGGGACUGAGACACGGCCCAGACCCCUACGGGAGGCAGCAGGGGAACGGACAAUGGGGGGAAACCUCGAUCCAGCCAUCCCGCGUGUGCGAUGAAGGCCUUCGGGUUGUAAAGCACUUUGGCAGGAAAGAAACGGCACGGAUGAAUACCCCAACUCGACGGUACCUGCAGAAUACACCGCCAUCACUACGUGCCAGCAGCCGCGGCAAUGGCGUAGGUGCAAGCGUUAAUCGGAAUUACUGGGCGUAAAGCGUGCGGCAGGCGGUUCGGAAAGAAAGAUGUGAAAUCCCAGAGCUUAACUUUGGAACUGCAUUUUUAACUACCGAGCUAGAGCGUCAGAGGGAGGUGGAAUUCCGCGUGUAGUGGUGAAAUGCGUAGAUAUGCGGAGGAACACCUGGAUGGCGAAGGCAGCCUCCUGGGAUAACACUUAUUCUGCUCAUGCACGAAAGCGUGGAGCAAACAGGAUUAGAUACCCUGCAGUCCACGCCAUAAACGAUGUCAACUAGCUGUUGGGGCCUUCGGGCCUUGGUAGCGCAGCGACUGCGUGAAGUUGACCGCCUGGGAGUACGGUCGCAAGAUUAAAACUCAAAGAAUCGACGGGGACCCGCACAAGCGAUGGAUGAUGUGAAUUAAUCUUGAUGUGAACGCGAAAAACCUUACCUACCCUUGACAUGUCUGGAAUCCCGAAGAGAUUUUUCUGGGAGUGCUCGCAAGAGAACCGGAACACAGGUGCUGUGAUGGCUGUCGUCAGCUCGUGUCGAGAUGUUGGGUUAAGUCCCGCAACGAGCGCAACCUUGUCAUUACGUUGAAAGGGCACUCUAAUGAGACUGCCGGUGACAAACCGGAGGAAGGUGGGGAUGACGUCAAGUCCUCAUGGCCCUUAUGGGUAGGGCUUCACACGUCAUACAAUGGUCGGGACAGAGGGUCGCCAACCUGCGAGGGGGAGCCGGAUCCAGAAACCCGAUCGUAGUCCGGAUCGCAGUCUGCAACUCGACUGCGUGAAGUCGGAAUCGUUAGUAAUCGCGGAUCAGCACGUCGCGUGAAUACGUUCCGGGUCUUGUACACCGCCCGUCACACCAUGGGAGUGGGUUUUACCAGAAGUUAGCCUAACCGCAAGGAGGGCGAUUACCACGGUAGGAUUCAUGACUGGGGUGAAGUCGUAACAAGGUAA
rnacentral:rRNA from 1 species